rnacentral:rRNA from 1 species
AGAUUGAACGCUGGCGGCAGGCCUAACACAUGCAAGUCGAGCGGCAGCACGGGUACUUGUACCUGGUGGCGAGCGGCGGACGGGUGAGUAAUGCCUAGGAAUCUGCCUGGUAGUGGGGGAUAACGCUCGGAAACGGACGCUAAUACCGCGAUACGUCCUACGGGA